rnacentral:lncRNA from 1 species
CUCCGCUCCAGUGGGUGGUGCUAGGGUGUCGUCUCCUACUUCAAUGGAGGAGAAGAUUUGCAGCGAGUUGAAACUCGAUAAGUUAAGGCAACAAAGCCUCAACCGAAGUCUCAAUGAAAUUCACGAGCCUCUUCCAUUCUCUCCCUCACUCUUCAAUGGAAAGAUAUCGAAACUCACUUCGAGUCCACUUUCAAUUCCAUCGAAGACUCCGCCAAAGCGCUUCGCACGAAGGAACGGCAACUGGAGGCGAGAGAGAAGGAAUUUGAAUCGAAGGAGAAGGAGUUUGAGGAACGGUGCGAAGAGUUUAUAAAGUUGAGAGAUGCGGAGAUUGAGGAGCAUUAUAAAGAGAUUGAGUUGAAGGAGAAGGAUUUUGAGGAACGGCGUAGAGAGGUUGACUUGGAGAGGAAGCGGUUGGAGGUGAGGCGGAAGGAAGUCGAAGAGAGGGAGGAGUUGGUGGGAAAGAAGUUUGUUGGAGAGAUUGAGUUGAAGGAGAAGAAAAUCGAGGAAAGGCGAAAGGAAAUUGAAGUGGAAAGGAAGAAGCUUGUUGAAGGGAUAAUGUUGAAGGAGAAGAAAAUUGAGGAAAGGCGAAAGCAAAUUGAAGUGGAAAGGAAGAAGCUUGUUGAAGGGAUAAUGUUGAAGGAGAAGAAAAUCGAGGAAAGGCGAAAGGAAAUUGAAGUGGAAAGGAAGAAGCUUGUUGAAGAGUUUGAGUUGAAGGAGAAGCAACUGAAUGAAGGGCGCAGGGAAGUUGCAUGGGUGAAGUUGAAGGUUGGGGAACAACUUAAGGAGUGUGAAUUGAAGGAGAGACGGCUUGAGGAUAGGGCUUUGGAGAUUGAAUUGGCGAGGAAGAGAAAUGUGGAGUUUUUUGAAGAGCUUAAAUUGAAGCAAAAGGAAGUUGAAUCGGAGGACAUGAAAAACAAGAAGUUUAUAGAGGAGUUUGAAUUGAAAGAGAAACAAUUUGAUGAAAGGUGCAAGGAAGUUGAAUCGGAGAGAAAGAAGUUUGUUGAAAAGCUUGAAUUGAAGGAGAAGCAACUUCUGGAGCAGCAGAAAGAAGUUGAAUUGGAAAACAAGAAAAUUAAGAAGUUUUUUGAAGAGCUUGAGUCGAAAGAAAUAAAUUUUGGGCAGAAAGUCAGAGAAAGGUAUGAUGAAAUUGAGUUGAAGGAGAAGAAAGUCGAGGAAGAGUUGAGAGAAGUUGCAUUGAGAGAAGAGAGGGUGGAGAAGAGAUUUAGAGGGGUUGAAGAGAAGGAGAGGAGGGUUAGAGAGCUGUUUAAGGAAGUUAGGGUGAAAGAUGAUGAGUUUAGGGAAUGGAGAAAAGGGGUUGAGUUGAAAGAGAAGGAACUUGAGAUGAAAGGUAGGGAGGUCGAGGAGAGGAUUAAAGAGAUUGGAUUGAAAGAUAGGAUGGUUGAGGAGAGGAUUAAAGAGAUUGGAUUGAAAGGCAGGGAGGUUGAGGAGAGGGUUAAAGAGAUUGAAUCGAUGGAGAAGAAUGUUAGCAAAAGGAGCGAGGAAGUUGAAUUGGAUAGGAGAAAAUUAGAGGAAGGAUUUAGAGAACUUGAGUUGAAAAGCAGGGAGGUUGAGGAGAUAAUUAAAGGGGUUGAGUUGAAGGAGAAGGAAUUGGAGGAACGGUGUCUGAGGUUUGAUUUGAAAGGGAAGCAAAUUGAAGAGGUUCAGUUGAAGGAACUAGAAGAGAGGUUACGGGAAGUUGAAAUGGAAAAUAAGAAGCGCUUGGAGCGAAUUAAGGAGUUUGAGUUGAAGGAGAAACAAGUUGCUGAUGCUUGUAAUGCCCGUGUGAAGUCGGAGACCGUAGAUUAUUCUAUAGAUGCCAACCUACAUUUUUCAGUGAAAAUGGAUGGAAAGGCAUUGCAAAUGUUUUUAAAUAAGCGUUGUAAACAUGAUGAGAAGAUGAAGAACGAGGUAUCUAUUGCUUUGGGACUUUCCUCGGAUCCUGCAAAGCUGGUUUUGGAUGCAAUGGAAGGGUUUUACCCGCCCCAUUUGAGGGAGGGUGAUGUGGAGUUCAACGAGCUUGUUGUGAAAAGAAGUUGCAAUCUUUUGCUUGAGCAAUUAAUGAAAAUAUCCCCAACAAUCAAACCCCAUGUGAGAGAAGAAGCAACGAAACUUGCCUUUCUUUGGAUGACAAAGAUGACAGUGGAUGAUCAGCACAAUUUAGAUGUUUUGGGAUUUUUUUAUCUCUUGGCUGCUUAUGGACUGGCCUCUGCCUUUGAUUCAGAUGAGCUCAUAAGCCGUUUGGUGAUUAUUGCUCGAAAUAGGGAGAUUCCUGAAUUCUUGCGUGUCCUUGAACUAGGAGAUAAAAUUCCUGGUAAGUUUCUAAUCCUUGUGCUCAGUAUGAUUUUUUUGCUUUCUUCUGUGUCUAUAAUCUAGUAAUCCUUUUUCUUCCCUACCAUGCUAUUAAUGAAUUAUAACUAUUCUAUAUUUGGUAUUGGCAGAAACUUGUAUGUGAUUAAAUUUAUAGUUUAUUUCACAUCUCAAGAUUCUGUUAUGUAAAUACAAGAUAGUGGAAAAUUAUGGAAAUGCUUAAAAAUGUUGGUCGUUUUUGGAAGCUUUCUUUGGUGGCAAGUCAAUGAAUCCUUUGUUGAAUGGAGAAUGCACUGUAUACCCUGUGUUUGGAGCAGAAAUGUAUGUAACUGGAAUUAAAGGCCUAUUUGAGUGCUUAUAGUCAUUUGUUACGGUGUUGUCAAGAGUAGUAAAGGUCAAGGAUAAUCUUCUGCUAGUGCUAGCAUCACCUGUCAAUUUUUAAGCAUCGUAUAGCCAAAUUAGGCUUGGGAAAUCCGCUUAAAUCCAUGGCUUGAAGCACACCAGUUUUUCCUUCCAACUUAGCCAUUGAUUUCCUUAAUGCCUGGUGAAAAUUAAUUGAUUCGAUUCUCAAUCAAUUAUUUUUUUCAUUUGAAAUAUCUACUGGAGCGUGAUAGAAUUUGUAACUAUUCUUUUGCAUGCUUAUAACAGGUUUUAUUGAAAAUCUUAUCGUGAAGAAACAGCACAUGGAAGCUAUCAGAUUCAUUUGUGCAUUUGAGAUGGUUAAUCAGUUCCCACCCGGACCUAUCUUGAGGGAUUACUUAAGUGGUUCCAAGAGUGCAGCCAAAAAAAUUAGGAGGAGGAAUUCAAUUGAAGGACUGGUAUGUUUUGCUGGUUUUCUCCUUCAAUAAGUCAUCUCUUCUCUUGCGUAUGAUCCAACUGUUAAUAUAUUCUCACACUUAAAACUUGCUAGCAGGUUGAGUCUGUAAACAGAAGAGUAGCUGACCUAAUGGUUGUACUGAAAUGCGUUGAAGAUUACAAGCUUGAAACUGUAUUCUCACCAGAUAUCCUCAAGCGACAAAUUAUAGAUGUCCGAAGACAACUUUCAAUUAGGGAAACAAAGUUACCAAACCUGGGCAGCAAUUCUCCUCAGCCUAAUCUGAGUGAGAACAAACGUUUGGCCCGAAAUGCUGCUGCUUCUGCCUCUGUCCUGUCGUCCAAAUCUGUCUCUGUCUCUGCCACUAAACCUGCUCUCAAAUCAACGAUGGCUGCCUGUACUGCUACCUCAGCUGCUCCCAUUACAUUCACCUCCUACAUUGCUUCCCCAGUCACAGUCACCUCUCUUGCCCCAAUGCCUGCCUUUAUUGCUAAUCCAGUCGUCCCUAUCAUUGUUACUUCUCCCUCCACAACAGCCGCUGUUGCCUCUCCCGCCUCUACUGCAUCCAUUACCCAAAGUACAGUUGUCUCCCCCUCCUCAAGCAGUGCAUCACCUUCUGGCUCAAUCCCCAAGACUGAACCAAAAUACCAGGGCUGUCAAGCAGAGUACCAGGGCGGAAAUAAACGCUGUCAAGCACAGUACCUGGGAAGUGAUAAGCACCCGCACCCUCAAGAACAACACCAGAGUGGAAAUAAGCGCCCUCGGAUUGCUAAAUCAUCAGAGGUUCCUCUAAGAGCACCAUUACUUCAAAACACUGGCAUUGCACACCCGGUGCCUGUCCCUCAUCUGCGAGCAGGUCCUUUUAUAAAUCAAAGGGCACCAUAUUUGAACCCAUCUGGCCGACACUACAAUUGUGCUGGUUAUGGCCCACCAAACCCACAGAUGAGCUCCCAUUAUAAUUAUGGAUAUCCAUAUUAUCAUUAGAACACAUUUGGAAAACCUGGCUAUGACGGUGCUGCCCCCCUUCUGCGGCCAUAGAAUGUUUAAACUUUUUGCAGGUGUGGUUCCACAUAAUGUUAAUACUUAUUUUUUGCCUUGUAUGGUAGUCUUAUCUGCUGCAUAGCUUGGUGUAUAUAAUCGACUUAAUGGUCUGGUUACCUCGGAGAUUUGGGAUCACAAAUGCAAGAGCCUGUCUUUUCUUGUUAUUGUUCUUUAGUUUUCAAAUUUUCAUGUCUUUUCUCCUUCGGUUCUCUAGGACAAUCUUACCCCAUCUGUCAGGAAUUCGAUAUUGUUUGAUCUACUUGUAUUAGAAUUUGAUUUAGUCUGAGCUCAUCAGCUGGACAAUCUAGCAUCACUGCAUAUCAGCCUAUAAACCCAGCUAUGAACUCCUUUAUAAUGCUGUAAAUCCUUGUUGUCAUUGGAGCAUACAUGGACCACCUGACUAUGAUAAUGCGACAUCCUUUCAGAGACCACCAGGUGAAUUGCCCGCGCAAUGCCUCGGAUUCUAACAAGAAAGAAGGUGAUAGAAUAAAAUGAAAAAAAUAAUAAUAAUAAAUUGGCAAGCAUUGAGAUUAAACUGAGCGGCCAUACGGAGUAGGCUAUUAGCACGAUGUCUUAACAAUUCAAAAAAGGUGGAGAAUCAAGCAUCUCGGGUGCUAAUUAUGGUUGCAAUACCAGCACAUCAGUAUUUGUAACUGAUACAACAAAAUAAGCCGUAAGGAACGAAAGCGAAACAUCUGCAACUGGUUAGUGAAGGAAUCUGAUGUUGGAACAGCAGGGGCUACACGAAGAACUGCCAAAAAGAAGAAGAAAGAAAGAGCAUGAAAUCCUGACGGAGCUGCUCGAAAACUUCAUCUACGACACAGUUUCUUCAUUAGCUCUCUCACUCUCCUGUUUUUCGCACACAAGUUGGACAAAGUCUUCAGAAGCUGAAGUCUUUGCUCGAAGAAAGUCCUAUAGAAUCAAAUAAUUAACCUCCUCCAUUGAGCAGACAUCAAACUCAGGUAAAGAGAAGAAAACUGAUGGGAAAGUCAAGAAAAAAUACCAAUCAAAUGAUAUUCCAGUUGAAAGAAGUUGAAAAAAAGUGAAAUGUAAGGAAAAAAGGAAAAAGAAUAAAGCAGCAGCCGCACCAGUCUAACAAAAUACAAAGAGUGAAUCCACAGGUCGAGGAACCAAAACACAGACAAACAAACUUCACAAUGCAACCAAAGGCGCAGUGCGGAAACUAUAACACUUCUCUCACUUAGCUGAAGAUAUUCUGCUCAUAGACAGUCCUGAUGCAUUUCAAAACCUGCAAUGCAUCAGCAAGUCAACUGAAAGGAAUGACAGAAAAAAACUUGUUGCAUGAAUCAAGUCUAGCAUCAAUGCGGACAGACUAAAAAACGAAACUAAAAUGGCAUCAAGUCUGGAAGAUAGAAUCAUAUUGAUGCAGGCCCCAAAAACAAAACCCGACUAAUCCGGGAAUAGGAUUCUGGGUUGGACAAUCAGUUAAUCAUUUGAUCCUAACAAUCUCAUAACAAUCAGUUAAUCUUUGAACCUUAUGAAUCCUUUUUUUUUAUAACCAAUAACCAUAGCCCACAUUACUGCAUGUAGAAAUCCUUUUUAAUCAAACAAGCAAGUGACUCGGAAAAAUAAAUAGUGCUCUCAAAAUACAAAGAGUAUUUUUUCAUAAGAAUCAUGAUAUUGAAAACAAACUACUCAUUAUUAUUCAUACUGAUAAAAUGAAUGUUCGAAAAGAGACAAAUUCUUUUCAAACAAAACUUAGAGUUUUCUCUCGAGCUUUCCGCUUUGAAACCCACAAAAACAUAAGGUCACCUCAUGAUGUACCUUCACCUCCUUUCCAAGAAAAAUAACAUGGGAGUUACAUGAUUCAUUCUAAACAAAUAUUCCUUCACUAAAACUAAAAAAAAUUAAAGGAAAGAAGGGUUAAUCAGAAUUAUUAUUUGUUUGAGUCACUGACAAAGCACACUUAGGGACAAUGAUCAAUAUAAGAGGGCAAUAUUGUACUUAGAAGGGGAUUUGAUCUAUUUGGGUAAUGGAAAAAAAAAAAAGGAAAGGAAAUUUCUUUCAACGAGACAAAAUGGGCAUUCUUGCUUACAAAAUAUCGUUUGGUCCUUUCAACGAGUAACACUGAAUGUUGUUAGCAGUGAGACAAUGAAUUAAUGAAUGAUUUUCUCAAAUUGAUCAACAAGACAAAUAAUUUCCAGUGAGUAAAUAGGUCACGAUGGACAUGAUAAAAACUGAGAUGAGUAAUAUUGCAAAUAUUCUGGAAAAGACUUAUAUAAGCCAACUCAAGUGAACUAAAAGUCAAGCGACCAAGAGGGCUCAAAUCAGAAUUAGCAAAACCUCAUCAAUUAUGCAACAAAGAAGGUUUAGAUGAAAUGAGGGCUUAUAUUUUCAAUCAUGAAAAGGUGUAUACAUAUCAUCUAAAACUUUGAGCAAUGUGUUUUGUAAAGAUACAUAACAGAAAUCCCUAAUGAGAUCCAUCAAAAGAAAUGAUAUCUCGAAGUAGCCAAGAAUUGAAAAUACUUUUGAAAUUUUUUACUUUUGAGAAAUUUUUAACCUGAUGAGGUCACUUAUUACAAUGAGAUCAUUUUUAAAAAAUCUUUAUAUUUUUCCACCUGGGUAUGUCACCAAUUACAAUGAAACUAUUUCUGAAAAUCUCUUAUAUUUUUGCAUCUAGGUAGGUCACCCAUUACAAUGAAACUAUUUUUGAAAGUCUCUUAUAUUUUUGCACCUGGGUAGGUCACCCAUUACAAUGAAAUUAUUUUUUAAAAAAUCUUUGUAUUCUUCACCUGGAUAGGUCACCCAUUACAAUGACACUAUUUCUAAAAAAAUCUUUGUAUUUUUUCACCUGGAUGGGUCAUCCAUUACAAUGAGACCGUUUUUUUUUUUCUUAAAUUAGUAUAAUUGUUUCAAAACGGUCUCAUUGUAAUGGAUGACCGUUUUGAAAUUAGUCAUUUGAAAGGUAAUUUUUACCAUGAAUAGAUCACCCAUUACAAUGAGAUAACUUUUAAAAAAUCCUUAUAUUUUUCACCAUCUGGUAGGUCACCUAAAACUAUUAGAUUACUUUAGAAAAAUCCUUGUAUUUUUCACCAUCAAGUUGGUCGUUUGGAGCAAUUAAACCACUUUUAAAAAAUUAUUGUAUUUUUCAUCAUUGAACAGGUCGUCUGGAAUAAUUAAACUACUUUCAAAAAAUCUUUGUAUUUUUCACCAACAGGCAGGUUAGUUGCAACAAUUAGAUCACUUUCAAAAAAAUCCUUCUAUUUUUCACCAACUAGUAGGUUGCUUAGAACAAUUAGACCAUUAAAAAAAAAUCUUUAUAUUUUUCACCAUUAGGCAAGUUGUCUGGAACAAUUAGACUAUUUAAAAAAAAAAAAUCAUUGACAAGGAAAGUUACCUUUCAAAUGACUAAUUUCUAAUUUCUCAAUUUUAAAUUGUUCAAUGUAUUUGCAUCAUAAAUAUUAUAAAAAAGUGACAACUGUCAUAACUCAAUUUUUUAUUCUUUUUAUUUUUUAUUUUAUUUUUUUAAUAAAAAUAAUAAAAAAAUGAUGAAGAGUAAAUUGAAAUUUGGGUCAAGACAACAUAAAUUGAAAGUCUAGGGGCUUAAUUAAACUUUUGAUUAGUUUAAUUAAUCAAAUCAAGAGUUUAAUUGAUUUUUUCAGGGGUAAUUUUGAAAAAAUUAAAAGUUGAAGAGCCAAUUAAGGACUGGAUUGAUUAAAUUGAAAACUAUGGACUGUUUUGUAAAUGGCGCCAAAAUCCAGGUGUUCAAUUGCAAUUAAUCUAGGGGCAAAAUUAAAAAUAGAUUUUUCUUGAAUAAGGGCCCAAUUGUUAAAUGUCAUAAGUUCAGGAGGGCAAGUUUUAAAUAGCUAUUGCAGAGUAGAAGACGACGCCGUUUCAAAAACUAUUCAUCGCCUUCUUCCUAGGAACCGUUUCAGCAGUAAAGGCACCAAAACCGUUUCACGGACCAAGUCUCCCAGCUGCUAUCCCUCGCCUCCACGAUGCACGAACGCUUGGCAUUCUCUGGCUAUAAAAGCAAGAGAAGAGAAGAGAAUGGUGGAGAAAAAAAAACACGAAAGAAACUGAGGGAAGAAGGGAGAAAACUGAGAAGAACGAAAACACAGGGACAAAGGGAGUGAAAGAGAGAACAGGGACGAACAGAGGAAACCUGGGAACAGAGACGCGAAGGAGAAAGACAGAGGCACAAAACAGAAGGAAACCAAGGAGGAGCAAAUACAGGGAGAGAGGAAGGCCGAAAAAAACCAGUAGAGAGAGAAGCAAACAAACAGAAAUAGGGACAGAAACGAAGAGGGAGAAGGACCAGAGAACACGAACAGAGAAAACAGAGCCGAAGAAAAGAACAACCAGAGGGAAAACAAGCGGAAAGAGGAACAGAGCGAGCAUCGUCCAAUACACCAUCAUCUUCAGCUACGCAGGUAAGCUUUCGUUUUCCCUCCCCUUAGAAAUAUAAUUACCCUGUCACUGUGCACGUGCACGUGCCAGCUGACACUAAAUAUACUUGCACUUAGUGUGUUAGCCGUUAUCAUUUAUCUUUUCUUUUAAUUAGAAUUUGGAAUAAACAUGUUAAUUGUUGAACGAGUUAAAAGCAAAGCUUUGAAUUUUAAAUUUUUCAAAAAAACUUUGAUAAUCAUGAAAAUGAUGAGAAUGCAUUAAAAUUAUAUUUUUUUUGAAAUUAUAUUUUAAAAUAUAUUUAAAAUUACAAAAAGGGCAUGACGGCGUCAUAGACACUUUUUUUAAAAAAAAAAAAUUGGUGUUUUUUUUUAAUAAAAAAAACUCUUAGAAAAAGGGAUCAAAAUUGGUUACCUCAAAGUUCAAUAAAACAUGAAUCCUAUGUUAAUGCUGUGGCAUGGAUUUUAUGACUUUCAACCUUCAGUUUCGAAUAACUUAACAAACCAUGGAUUUUAUGUCGAUAUAUGAUUUAAUGAACAAACACUUUUGAGAUUUUAAAUGAUAUGACAAAUACAUAUAGCAUGAGAAAUAAAGAAAUUUAAAACAAGUUUAUGUAAAACAUAAAUGAUAAGCUAAAAGUGCUAAAUAAUAUGAUAUAUAUAUAUGUUGUGCAUGAAUUGUUUGAUUAUAUAUGGCAACUUAAUUUAUUAUUUAUUUUUAAAUUUGAUGUUAUAUAUAGUAUAAUAAUAAUCACACAUAUUAAAGAAUAAUAUAAAUUAUAUCUUAAAAUUUCAGUUUAAAUUUUUAAAUUGAGAUGAUUCUUUAAUAAUAUAUUAAGUUUUUUUUAUCACAAGUUUAAAUCUCAUCAUUUUCCAUAUAAGUUUUAAAUUCAAAUUAUUUUUAUUUAAAUAAAUAUUUUAAAGAAUAAUAUAAAUUAUAUCUCAAGAAUACAAUUAAUAAUUUAAAUUUUUAAACAAAAAUAUAAAGCAUAUAGGUUGCAUGGAAAAGACAACGGUCUAAGAUUGUAUUUCGCCAAGUUUUAAAUAAAAUCAACUUGAAGAAUUUGACAAUUUAACUUUUUAUAAGGUCUAUAAUCUAGUUUAUUUUCUAUAUAUAUAAAAAAUUAAAAUCAUCUUGUUUAAACUUUUUAUUUUAAAAAACAUUCAAUCUUUCAAUCUAACUAACUUAUAUAAUUCAUGACUCGAGCUAUAUUAUAAAAUGAGUCAAGUUUAAUUAACUUUACAUGAAAUUAUUUUGAAAGAGUUUGUUUGAAAGUGUUAUAAAUAUUUAUUUUUAAAAUUAUUUUUACUUAGUAAUACAUCUGAUAUUGUUUUUUAUAAAAUUUAUUUUUGAUAUAAAUAUAUUAAAAUAAUUCAAAAAUAUAUUAAAUAUAAUAAUUUAAAACUAAAAAAAUAAAAUUUAAAAAACUUCAAAAAUAGUAUAACAGGUUCCAUAUACGGGAUAUUAUUAAGGUUUUCCCAUCACAUUAAUAGUGAUUAUGAUUUGCUCAAAAACUAAUUAACCAAUUGACGACGACCUGUCGUUUUACCCUCACCAGCUUUUUUGGUGGUCUCCCCUCCGCUCCAGGUAGUGGUGCUAGGGUAUCGUCUCCUACUUCAAUGGAGGAGAAGAUUUGCAGCGAGUUGAAACUCACUAAGUUAAGGCAACAAAGCUUCAACCGAAGUCUCAAUGAAAUUCACGAGCAAGCCUCUUCCAUUCUCUCCCUCACUCUUCAAUGGAAAGAUAUCGAAACUCACUUCGAGUCCACUUUCAAUUCCAUCG